UUCUCUCUCCCACUUCUCUCUCCAACGGUGCCUCCACCCGACGCUCCCUCCAUCUUCCUCGUCUGGCUUCCUCCCACCUUCUCCCUCGGCAAGCCCCUUCUCCCUCCCACCCUCUAUCUCGAUGAGCGCUGUGCAGUGUGAGGUUAGCACGGGCGCGGGUGGCUGCCCGCCCAGGGCAGAGCGUGCGUGGGCCGCGCGGAUCCAGGGCCGCGCACAUGGGCGGUGCGGAUCCAUGCGAUGUACAGCUGCAGGCCAAGGGCGUGCACGACGCAACAGCUGCCUUGUCGGGGGCACUUCGGCGUGGUGGAUCUGGGCCCCACCACCACGAAUCUAGGCCUUCCUCGACCAAAUCUAAGUGCGGCGACGCGUCCCUCCUACUCCUCUAGUGGUGGGCCAGUAGCGACCUCCACCAUCUCUGGCGUCCUUUACCACCUCGCGAGCUCGUGGCGUAGGAUCCAGGGCGGUGGCGCCCCUCGGUGAUGGAUCCAGACGGAAGGAGCUCUCCGUCGAUGGCGGCGGUUCCUGCAGCGACAAGCAAGCCAGGGCCGGAUUCGAGCAGGAGGAGCUCAGUGUCGACCCUCUUGGCGGUGAGCAUGACCGCAACAGUGGUGGCAUCAUGGAGGCGGUAGUGGCCGGGUCCGUCGUAGAGCGAGGCCUAGAUCGAGGCCCGAUAAGGGCUGGAUCUGAGUUUUUUUUGUUAUUUUUGGAUUAACCGUGGCGGGCAUGGAACCGCCUCGGUUAUGUUCACAUUAAUCGUCACCUUACCUCCGAGACGGUUGCAAAAAUCAUCUCAGAUAAUCCUUUUUUGCCCGCCUAAAAAAUAUAUGUAGUAGUGCAUGUGCUUGUUGUUUAAAUUUCAAAGAAAUAGUUUGAAAAGAAGAAGAGAAAAACACAACUAUCACAUAUGUGAGAUUCAUACAAGUACAAGUACACGAAUCCAUGACAGAUGUCCACAUCGGUUACUUCGCGGACCAAUUCACGAUAUAUGUUCGUUUCUUUUUUUCCGUUAGGGUUUAGGGUUUAGGGUUUAGAGAUUGAUUUCAAAGAAUUUUGUUUGACGUUUAAUCAGACGACGACCCAUAACGUUUUUUUUUCUUAUAUUAUUAUCUGACUUGCCGCUAGUUUCAACGUUCCAGAGCAAUUAUCACAGUAAAUUAAACGUUGACAAACCAAUUCACGAUAUAUGUUCGUUUCUUUUUUUCGUUGAAGAAGAAGAGACGGCAUUGGCUACAGCACGUCUUUGGCCCACGCAUGCAGCUGCCUGGCUGGAUGGACCUGGAGCGGAUCAGUAUAAUAAACUCGGGC
rnacentral:lncRNA from 1 species